CCUGUGGCAGAGGAGGGCAGAGCUGUGCUUUCUGAGGUGAGUUUGGGUCUGCACGUCCUGUACACACCCCGUGCCUGGCAGGCAGCCCAGGGACCCUGCAGUACAGGAGUGCUUGUUCCCUUGGUGCUUAUCAGGGACAUCCUUGGAGAGGUGACAGUGGUGAGGGGGCAGCUCAGCACAGCCAUGGGCAGCUGCUUUCCUGGCUCUCCAAGAGCAUUUCCCAGGAGCAGACACAGCUCUCUCCACCCUCAGCCAGUGAGGAAAUUUCUCAGAGAAGCAACGGGUCCCUCUGCUCCUUUUCUCUGUUUCAUUGCCACAGGGAAACAACUGCUCACUCUUAAAAAAAACUCUCUCUUGGAGCAGCUUUGCUUGAUGCCAUUGCUGGCCUCUCUGGGGGCUGCUGCCUGUCCUGUGCCAGGCACAGGUGCUCCCACACCUCUGACCUACACACCUCUCCCUGCCUUUCAUCCCUUUCCCUCCUUUCCUUUUCUCUUCCCUUUGUUCCAGUGUCAAAGCCCAGACUGCUGAAGGAGGGGGAUAUGGGAACCUCCAUAGGCAGUGCCUUUCAAUGCUGGUUCCCAGUUCACUGGUCCCCAUUGCCCCUUCAGGUGGGGCAAAACAAAGGAGAAAUAUUUCCCUUGGCCUCCCCAUCUCCUCACUCCAACAUGCCUUUUCCAUGCCCCCUCCUUUCUGCUUGGUGAGGGGCCCCCUUGCUUUGGAUGGGUUUGGGGUAGCAGGAACAGCCUGACUGGACAAGGUGCCACUUCUCUUUGCAUAAGCAGCUUGAGAGCUUUGGUAGCUGGACAGGAGACAAAACAACAAAGAAAAGCACACGAUGGGUCACAGUUGGUAAACUUUCCCCUUCGCCCUUGAAGGGGUCUGUAAAGUGACUGCCUUGGAGGGGAUGGAGGGUGCUGUGGACAGAGCUCACCAGGCCCCGUGCAGAGGCACCUCUGGAGCUCCGUGGAUGGGGUGGUGGCUUUGGGAACAGUGAGACCUCUUCCAUUUUCUUUUCUGGCUCUUUUCACAGCUCAUUUUAUGGCAUCUUCUGCUGAGGGAUGUGGACCAUGGUUGCCAGUACUGCACCCUGUUUUGGAGGGAGAGAAAGGAGGCUGGAAGGUGCUCAGCAGCAUGGCCAUCACCCCAGGAGCCACCUGGAGACCUGUGGUGAGGCCUCACCAACAAUGGGGUACAGGGUGAUGCAUGUGCUGGUGCCUCCUUUGGAGAUAUCUUGGAGAUAGAGAAGCCUUGACUUUUUCUAACCCUACUUUUUUUCAGGCAGUUUGCAUGUGGGAAGUGUUUAAUUUAGAAAGGCCAGUGCUGCUGUAUCACAUUCCUGUGUCAGUCUCUGUUGGUUUAUGACCAGUGAAAUCCUGGUGUGAAAACAGAAUCAGGCUUUGAUUUCAACUGCUCCUGCUGUUUUAUGCCACUAACAACUUUGGAUUUCGAUAGCAGCUUUUAUUCUAGGAGCUAAACGGGCUUCACAGACAGGCAAUUAAUUAAUUGAGCCUCCCCAGCCAGCCUACGCCCUCAACACCACAAGGAAGCAUUUUGCAGAGGAGGAAACAGAGGCAGAGGAGCAAAAUGGAUCGCCCUAGACAGAUCAUGUUUACUGCUGCUGGUGAUGUGGAGGCAGGCUCCCUCCCGCUAGCUGAAGCAGCUCCACGGGUCCCCCUCAGAGCAGCCUGCGGCUGCCAGUCAUGGCUCAGCUGUCCUGAACAACCCUGUGAGCUUACUAUGCUGCAUGGAGUUUCCUGUGGAAGUUUGUUCCCCUCUGCCCUGGACUAUGAAAGAUUUUUGCUCAUCAGUGCCCUAGAUCUCUGCCUGCUGCGAAGACGGUGCCCCUCCCGGCAGAUGACUCCUGCAGUUCUUCCAGUUCUUCCAAAGUAACUGGAUGGUUUCACCCCUGUGGGGAGCAAGGUGCUGUGUCCCAUCUCUAAAGUGAGAACAACCUGAGGCAGGGAAGGCAGUAAGGAGCCGACGUGUUGGGGAACGUGAUGGCAACACCACAAGCCAUGAGCUGGCAGUGCAGGAAGCCAGGGAGGGAGCAGCCUCAUCCCACUGGAUGAAGGUGCCCGGGGAAGGGGAGAACAGCCUGGCCAGAGGCAGGUCAGCAUGUGAUGAGCUGCCCUGUUCCCACCUGGGGGCUUGCCAGCAGACCAGGAGAAGCCCUGCAGCAUCAGGCAUUAAUAGCACUAUUUGGGGACAGCAGAAACUGGAGUAAGAUGGACAGAAAUCCACCCUGGUGUGCACAAACCAGGGGUUGUUUUCAGUCCUCAGUUCUUUCAAGUGCCUGAUGAUUUCACAGUCCCUAUAGAGACUGACUUGGAGAAGUUGCUGGCCCACCCUAGCUGGGAUCUGCUGUCCAUAUCCCUGUGGAUGUUCCUGCUUCCGUACUGGAAAUAUGUGUGGAUUUCAAUGGCAGUUAGAAAUCAUCACUCUCCACCCAAAUUGUGACCAGCCAAGGAGACUGCAUCACUUGCUCAGAUUUUGGGAGCUUUAAUUGAGGAAAAGCAACUUCAGAGCGUGUUUCCAGGGCCUUCAUCUUCCAGACAAGUGAGAACCACCUGACCACCUCUUUUAGCUUUCCCUCUUGUAAAAGAAGAGGAAAAUGAGGGGGUUUGCCUUUUCAGAGGAGCUGCAGGGCUGGCAGUGAAGAUCCUGGGUGGGAAGCCCUUUCCCAGUGCAGGAGGGGAGAUUGGAUGUGUCCACCUGCAUCUCAGAAGGAGCUUUUCUGGUCAGUGCCUUGUCCUCAGGAUCAGCCCCCGUGGGGACACGGCGCUGCCCACGUGCAGGUGCUCAGGAGAGGUCACUGUCCCUGUGACUCCCACGCCAUGUGCAUCUCAGCCACAAAGAAAUAAAUACCCUCUUCUGCCUGGGGACACCUUUUAAUCUUCUUGCUAGAUUUUCAUACACUAGUCCAAACUCUCAGCUGGGCCAGGCAUGAUCUCAUUUAGCAUUCCAUCCACAGAGUCUGCUAAACCAAGGCUGCUAUUUCUAUGCCACGUGCUGGUAGGGGCUGGGGCCGCUCUCAUUGGUGGCACGGGGGGGUUCCCACCACCUAUUGCAUCUGCCAGUACUUUGCCCCAGAGGUGAAAAUGUCCCAUGGAGGUGGCCACCUGGACCAGCAUCCUCAAUGUUGGGAAGCUCACCAGGGCCUUACAGGACACUUGUGGGCAGCAGGUACCAGAGCAGCAGCAGCUCUCCGGCGACCAGGCAGCUGCCAGGUUGCUGUGCCAGGGGCUGCAUCGUCAGA